UUUAAAAAAUCGUGUUUUUAAUUAAACGAUUGUUGAUCUCAUCAAAAAAAUUUGUAUAUCAGAAAGUGAUUUAACAUGCAGAAUCGCAAUAUUGGCGCUAGAGAGAAGAGGCCCAAUGUGUAAAAUUGCCAAUCUUCUUUCGCAAGAACUAAAACAUUUAUGUAUUGUUGUAUUUGAUGUUAAAAAAAAGUUGUAUUUGAUGUUAUUACCUUAAUGAAAUCCUAAAAUAAAUUUAACUAAAGUAACAACGAUAUUAUUAAACUGAAAGGCAGAACGAAGUUAGCCGGGUCAGCUAGUAUAUAAUAUAUAUUAAUGUUAUAAUAAUGAUAAACAUGAUAACCCGUAUCAACCAUACGAACGCUCUACUAUGCACGUGUUUGACGUGCAAGACGUAAGCAUUGUAACGUUUAAUAUAUUUCUGAAGUGCACAGGUUUGCAAAAAAUAUUCCAUACAAAUAUUUUAUUCCCAUUCAACCGGUAUCAUUAAGUAGGACUAAAUAUAGUCUGAUCAUUUGAAAAACUGAAGUUACUAUUAAAUGCCUAAUACAAUGGUCACAGUAUCAAUGUAAAUUCAUCUUUUAUUAAAAAGAGAUUUCAUUAGAUAACUUUGAUUAGAUCAGUGUACAUAGCUAUUAACAUGUGUUCAUUUAAUGCGUAAUUUGUUGUAUUUUUAAAAGGCCGUGUUAAAUAAAUCUGGAGUAAUAAACUUUGUUCAAUAAUUUACUGCAAUGUAACAAUGACUUUCAAUAAAAACAACGUUAUCUAGACUGUCAUGGCUGAGGAUUUUUUUUAAACAUUAAUAUUAAUACUGAACGAGACGAGCAUGUGCCAGUAGUUUUUGUGUAUAAGUGUACCUAAUACACGAGUACGAGUUUCAAGCUCCUCCUUGAAAAAUUUAGCAUUUUAUAUUGAAAUGUUUAUUUAGAUGUUACACACACACUAAAAAUAUAAUUACUUCGACUCUAUUAAAAUGAUCACUGCACUUAAUCUUGUGGAACACUGACAUUCUCAAAAAAUAGCUAAGAGGAUAAUUUAUAUUAUCUGGUAAUAAACAAUGUGUACAACUAAAAAUAAUACCAUUAAGAUUUGUACUUUCGCCUCGUAUCAACCAUAAACACACUUUUAAUAAUUUUACUGUAAACACUAAACAUCCUUUCACUAUAAUUCAUAUUUUAACAAAUUAUACAUAUACAUAAUAUGUAAGAAUAUUACAUAUGUAAAUUAUUAUUAAUAUAGAGUGAAAUUUAUAUUUUCUAUUAUUUAAAACCCUGACCGUACUAAGCUAGCUUCUGCACCAUGCCGAGGCGCGGCUAUCUAGUGAGCGGACCAGACUCCGCCUCCCAUUACCCGAAGAUAGCCGCCCACCUUAAACCUGGUGGUCCAUGACAUCGCUCAGCACCAAGCACGCUGCGGCGAAGAUCCAACGCGCUCUGGAUCUCCUACCAUUGUGGCUAAACAAGUAGAGAUUCGCCGCGAACCCGACCAAAACUCAGGCGAUCGCCAUCGGCCAAGGUAGGCUACCACCACCCCUACGCUUCCUGAAUCGAGACGUGGCGUGGAAGACACCGGUCACCUAUUUUGUGGUCACCACAUCGCCAGGGUAGUAGGGAGAGCCAAGUGGGCGGUGUAUACGCUAGCCCCCUCCUACCUACCUAUCCGCACCAAGCUUGAGCUUCAAACAUUUGCGCCCCCGUAGGCGGCACCGGCGAGGUACUACCAAGGAUAUAUAAUACCAAGGAGUGCAACCGCCAGAGACUGCGCGCCGUACAAAACACAACCUUACUGUGCGUAGUGGGGUCCCCGCGUCGCGUGAGGAACGCCACCAUAGCGCGGGUUCUGCGGAUGGAGUGCAUCGAGUUCGUCACGCGGCUCGCAAAGGGGAUGUUCGACCGUGGCGAGUCGAGCGUCGCUCCUCAGUUCUCACAACAAGUCGCGCGCUGUAGCCCUCAUAAAAGCCCGCCCCCGUAUCGUCCUGUAUUAGCAGAGCGCGAACCAGCAUUCCACCCGAAGGGGGCAUUCGCCCCGAACGAGUCCAUACACCCCCCUCGCGAGGGAGGGUAUAGCAAGAUUAUCGAAGAAUACAGUGUUGGUGGUGCAACAGCCGUCAACCCUGUAUUUGGCUCUUUGGCCAAGUAUUAAAUUAUGAUUAUUAGAUAGUUAUUAGUUUCAUAUUGCACCUGUUUCUUUAGCGCUUUAUUAUUUAUACACAAGUAAGACACCCAGCAAGCACACAUAUUUGGCUUUUGAACAAAGUGCUAAUUUAAUCAUUAUUAUAGCAUGUUAACUCAACAUUGACACAAAUUCGAAUCACCAUUGAAACUACGUAAAAUACACCCGUAAAAUAUAUUCAGUUUUGAGAUUU